GACAGAGGUGCCAAGCGUUAGGCGGAAUCACUGGGCUUAAAGCGUGUGUAGGCGGAUCGUUAAGUACCUUGUGAAAUCCCACGGCUCAACCGUGGAACUGCUGGGUAUACUGGCGGUCUUGAGCCACCUAGGGGCAACUGGAACAAACGGUGGAGCGGUGAAAUGCGUAGAUAUCGUUUGGAACGCCGAUGGUGAAAACAGGUUGCUGGGGCUGUGCUGACGCUGAGACACGAAAGCCAGGGGAGCGAACGGG
rnacentral:rRNA from 1 species